UCAAGUUAUUAAGGGUUUACGGUGGAUGCCUUGGGUCCAAGGGCCGAAGAAGGGCGCGGAAAGACUGCGAUAAGCCUCGAUUAGCUGUCUAUCAAGCUUAGUCGGGGGUACCCGAAUGGGGAAACCCGUCAUGGGUUAUACCAUGACAUUCAAAUGAAUGGGAACCGUGUGAACUGAAACAUCUAAGUAACACGAGGAAUAUAAAUCAAAAGAGAUUCUCCUAGUAGUGGCGAACGAACGGGGAACAGCCUAAACUGUGUGGGCUUAACGGAAUGAGGUCCUAUGUCCAUGCAGGGUUGUAACAAGUUUCUGUCCUGACCUCAAUAAGGACAAGAAGUUACAAAUUUUUUUAUUAGUCAAACGAAUCUGGAAAGAACGACCGGAGAAGGUGAUAGUCCUGUAGGCGAAAAUAAAAAAACUUCUGAAACUCUGUUGAGUACCACGGGACACGAGAAAUCUUGUGGGAAUCUGGGGAGACCACUCUCCAAGGCUAAAUACUCUUGGACACCGAUAGCGAACCAGUACUGUGAAGGAAAGGUGAAAAGUACCCCGGGAGGGGAGUGAAAUAGACCUGAAACCGUAAACUUACAAGCCGUAGAAGGCUCGAUACGUCGGGCUAACUGCGUGCCUAUUGAAGAAUGAGCCGGCGAGUUAAUUUAUGCAGCACGGUUAAGGAAUUUUAAUUCCGGAGCCAUAGCGAAAGCGAGUCUGAAUAGGGCGAUUGAGUUGUUUGAAUUAGACCCGAAACCGAGUGAUCUACCCUUGGCCAGGUUGAAGCCCAGAUAGUCUCUGGGUGAAGGACCGAACCCGUGUCUGGUACAAAAGGCUGGGAUGAGCUGAGGGUAGGGGUAAAAUGCCAAUCGAACUCGGAGAUAGCUGGUUCUCCCCGAAAUGUAUUUAGGUACAGCGUUCAGGGAGUCUUGUGGAGGUAGGGCACUGGAUAGGUACGGGGGCGUGAGCCUACCAAACUUAACCAAACCACGAAUGCCGCAAGAUGCUCCUGGGCAGUGAGACAGUGGGGGAUAAGCUCCAUUGUCGAGAGGGAAACAGCCCAGAUCGUAGGCUAAGGUCCCUAAGUGUGUAUUAAGUGUGAAACGAAGUGAAAACGCUAAAACAGCUAGGAGGUUGGCUUAGAAGCAGCCACCCUUUAAAGAGUGCGUAAUAGCUCACUAGUCGAGGGUUUUUGCGCGGAAAAUGUAACGGGGCUAAAUACACCACCGAAGCCACGGGCCCGUAUUUAUACGGGCGGUAGGGGAGCGUUGCCAGGGCGUCGAAGCUGAGUUGUGAGACUUGGUGGAGCGCUGGGAAGUGAGAAUGCCGGCAUGAGUAGCGACAAUCCUGGUGAGAAUCCAGGACACCGAAAGCCUAAGGUUUCCUACGCAAUGCUGAUCAGCGUAGGGUAAGUCGGUCCUAAGCCGUAGCGUGUAGCGAAGGCGAUGGACAGCAGGUCAAAAUUCCUGCACCGCAGAUUAAGCGUUAUAAAGCAAAGGGGGGACACGGGAAGAUAGGCGGAGCGCACCCAUUGGACAUGGUGCGUCUGGUCUUGAAGGCCAUGCCAGGACAGGCAAAUCCGUUCUGGCGUUAUGAGCUGAGGGGACUGGAAACUCCAGGGCAUAUGCCCUAGGGAAUUCCGUUGAUUCUAUGCCGUCGAGAAAAGCCUCGUUGCAAGUUUUUUCAGCGUCCGUACCGCAAACCGACACAGGUAGGCAGGGGUAAGUAUCCCUAGGUGAACGAGAGAACCCUCGUUAAGGAAUUCGACAAGUUGACUCCGUAACUUCGGGAUAAGGAGUACCCAUGGGGUGAUAGUCAUUUACUGACUGGAUGCCCUUGUGGGUGGCACUAAACAGGCUCAGGCGACUGUUUAUCAAAAACACAGGUCUCUGCUAAAGCGAAAGCUGAUGUAUAGGGGCUGACACCUGCCCAGUGCCGGAAGGUUAAGGGGAUGGGUUCGUGGUUUACCACAAAGCUCAGAACCGAAGCCCCGGUGAACGGCGGCCGUAACUAUAACGGUCCUAAGGUAGCGAAAUCCCUUGUCGGGUAAGUUCCGACCCGCACGAAUGGUGUAACGACCUGAGCGUUGUCUCAACGAGGGACUCGGUGAAAUUGCAAGACCCGUGAAGAUGCGGGUUACGCGUGACAGGACAAAAAGACCCCGUGGAGCUUUACUGUAGCUUGGCACUGGACUUGGGUUAUAAAUGUGUAGGAUAGGCGGGAGACUUUGAAGCAGAUACGCCAGUAUUUGUGGAGUCGCUCUUGAAAUACCGCUCUUUUGUAAUUUGGGCCCUAACUCAACGAAAAUUGAGGACCCUGCCAGGUGGGCAGUUUGACUGGGGCGGUCGCCUCCCAAAAGGUAACGGAGGCGCCCAAAGGUUCCCUCAAGGUGGAUGGAAAUCACCUGCAGAGUGCAUUGGCAUAAGGGAGCUUGACUGUGAGACAUACAAGUCGAGCAGGGACGAAAGUCGGGCAAAGUGAUCCCACGAUUCCGAGUGGAAGGGUCGUGGCUUAACGGAUAAAAGCUACCCCGGGGAUAACAGGCUUAUCUCCCCCAAGAGUUCACAUCGACGGGGAGGUUUGGCACCUCGAUGUCGGCUCGUCGCAUCCUGGGGCUGUAGAAGGUCCCAAGGGUUGGUCUGUUCGCCCAUGAAAGCGGCACGCGAGCUGGGUUCAGAACGUCGUGAGACAGUUCGGUCUCUAUCCGUCAUGCGCGUAGGAAAUUUGAGGAGAGCUUUCCCUAGUACGAGAGGACCGGGAAGGACAAACCUCUGGUGUACCAGUUGUUCCGCCAGGAGCAUAGCUGGGUAGCUAUGUUUGGAUGUGAUAAGCGCUGAAAGCAUCUAAGCGCGAAGCCAACUCCAAGAUGAGAUUUCCCUAUGGUUUCGACCAUUAAGGCCCCCAGCAGACUACUGGGUUGAUAGGCCACAGGUGUAAGGCAGGCAACUGCUUCAGCUGAGUGGUACUAAUCGGCCGUAGACUUGACUUA
rnacentral:rRNA from 1 species